rnacentral:rRNA from 1 species
AUUGAACGCUGGCGGCAGGCCUAACACAUGCAAGUCGAGCGGAUGAAGGGAGCUUGCUCCUGGAUUCAGCGGCGGACGGGUGAGUAAUGCCUAGGAAUCUGCCUGGUAGUGGGGGAUAACGUCCGGAAACGGGCGCUAAUACCGCAUACGUCCUGAGGGAGAAAGUGGGGGAUCUUCGGACCUCACGCUAUCAGAUGAGCCUAGGUCGGAUUAGCUGGUUGGUGGGGUAAAGGCCUACCAAGGCGACGAUCCGUAACUGGUCUGAGAGGAUGAUCAGUCACACUGGAACUGAGACACGGUCCAGACUCCUACGGGAGGCAGCAGUGGGGAAUAUUGGACAAUGGGCGAAAGCCUGAUCCAGCCAUGCCGCGUGUGCGAAGAAGGUCUUCGGAUUGUAAAGCACUUUAAGUUGGGAGGAAGGGCAGUAAGUUAAUACCUUGCUGUUUUGACGUUACCAACAGAAUAAGCACCGGCUAACUUCGUG